GANGCGAGAGGAAACUCUCUGUGGGGCCGUGCGUGCUGGACCGUGUAGUUGCUUCCCUCGAUCGGGUGCACUCCGGUCGUGCGGUCGCGUCCCCCCAGACGCAUUUGACUCUCAUCCUGAGGACGCUGCAGCCGGCGGGGAAGUUGAAAACGUGACGUCCUGAAGGGCGGGAAACGGCAGGUUGCCGCUGGCUCGCACUCAGCGGGCUGCCGGUUGAUAGCCCUCCCUCCAGUGGACCGUCUCCACGCCGUGGUCUGUGGGCCCUUCNCGGGCCUGUCCUCCGUCUCUACACGUGCGGGCAGGAUCGUCGCUGGUGCAGUCAACCGACUCGUCGCACUCAUUACGCUUGGACGAUCGAGUUAUUGUGCACAGCAGGUGACGGCAGGGCCCGAGGAGAUCGGAGGCUCGCAGCGAGUAGGUCGGUCACCCACCCGACCCGUCUUGAAACACGGACCAAGGAGUCUAACAUGUACGCGAGUCANUGGGUCUUGAACAGGCCCAGAGGCGUAAUGAAANCNAAGGG
rnacentral:rRNA from 1 species